UUGCCAGAAUUUUAAUUCAAAGGUGCCUUGCUCAAGGGAACCACAGUCACAAUCAUAAUCGUUGCACCAAAACCACAAACACCAUCAUAUUACUAAACUCAUUGACCGUGAGACUCAAACCGCCAACUCUCGGGUAAAAAUCCCAAAACUCUCUAACCACUGGGCUACAACUGCCCCAGCUGAAGGACAAUGGGAGAUUUCAGAUUUAUUGCCAGCAUUUAAAUUCAGAGGUGGAUGACAGUGGGAGGAGGAGGGACAUAUACACAUUUUUUUUCUUUCAGAUUUAUUGUCAGCAUUUUAAUUCAGAGGUGGAUACCAGUGGGAGGAGGAGGGCCAUUAUACACAAAACAUUUUUCUUUCAGAUUUAUUGCCAGCAUUUUAAUUCAGAGGUAAAAAGUGACAUGCUUGUCAAGUAUGUAAUGCAUACUCAAAACGUAACCUCUGAAUUUAACCCAUCACAGUGAGUAGUGAACACACACACACACACACACACACACACACACACACACACACACACACACACACACACACACACACACACUUAACCGGAGCAGUGGGCAGCUACCCCAGCACCCUGGGAGCAAUUAAGCCAAGGUGCUUUGUUUAAGAUCACCACAACUCACCGGUCGAGGGACUCGAGUCGGCAACUCUCAGGUAAAAUCCUGACUGUCACCACUACUCUACUAAUGUUCCAGCUGGAGGACAAUGCGAGGUUUAAGAUUUAUUACCAGCAUUUUAAUACAGAGCUGGAUGACAGUGGGAGGAGGAGGGAGAUAUACACACAUUUUUUUCUUUCAGAUUUAUUGUCAGCAUUUUAAUUCAGAGGUGGAUACCAGUGGGAGGAGGAGGGCCAUUAUGCACAAAACAUUUUUCUUUCAGAUUUAUUGCCAGCAAUUUAAUUCAGAGGUUGAUGACAGUGGGAGGAGGAGAGACAUAUACACAUUUCUUCUUUCUUUCAGAUUUAUUUCCAGCAUUUUAAUUCAGAGGUGCCUUGCUCAAGGGCACCACAGUCACAACUCAUUGGCCGUGAGACUCAAAUGGCAACUCUUGGGUAAAAAUCCUAAAACUCUCUAACCACUGGGCUACAACUGCCCCAGCUGAAGGACAAUGAGAGGUGAAGGGACCUCUCAGGAAGAGUAGAAAAGUUGCUGAACAAUGAACUUUUCUCCACAGAGAUUUAUUGCCAGCAAUUUAAUUCCAAGGUGGAUGACAGUGGGAGGAGGUGGAGGGACACACGCGAGUCACUGCGCAACCAACAUUAGGCUACCUAUGGCAACGAAAUGAACUAAUUAUACAAUAUAUACAUUUAAAAGUCUGGCAAUAAAACAUUUAAACAAACACAGCAAACAUUCACAUCUAUCUAUGGACGUUUCUUUCUAUGUGACUACAACUGAAAAAUAAAGAAAUAAUAUAAAAAAGC